rnacentral:rRNA from 1 species
UACAGAGGUGGCAAGCGUUGUUCGGAAUUACUGGGCGUAAAGGGCGCGUAGGCGGCCAUCUAAGUCAGACGUGAAAUCCCCCGGCUUAACCUGGGAACUGCGUCUGAUACUGGACGGCUCGAGUUUGGGAGAGGGAUGUGGAAUUCCAGGUGUAGCGGUGAAAUGCGUAGAUAUCUGGAAGAACACCAAUGGCGAAGGCAGCUCUCUGGGACGGUACUGACGCUGAGACGCGAAAGCGUGGGGAGCGAACAGG